UUGGGGACAUUGGUGGGUGAGUAUCCGCGGUGGGGAUAAGGCAGGUUUGUAUCAGGCCAGGCUUGGUUUGGGGCCAGGUGCAGCUCUACCCAAAACUGUGUUAGGCCAAGUGGGAGCACCUGGCUGGAUUGAAAUGCUGCUCCUCAGGGCCCUCCUUCUGCCUGGUGAGCAUCCAUAUCCCUUCCUGGGGUACUGAGGAAUUAUGGGGAGGAAAAAGUGGAAAUCUGAAGCCAGGUGAACAUGCUGGGAAGACAACACGAUCAAGAGGUGCUUUAAGUGCUGGGAAGGCGCCGUGAAAGGAGAACUGUUCCUGCUGGGCCAGGGAAGGGCUUGGCAGUCCUGGCAGCCUUCACAGCAUGAGCUGUUUGCCUUGAGUGAAAUGCAGUAACUGGAGAGGGACCCACACUUUGGGCUCCUGGGAGCUCUGCUCUGCUCCCUCAGGUGAGUGCGGGCAGGCUGCACUGCCUGUGAAAUAAAUCUGCUGGGGUGAAACCUUCUUCGUGUCUGUAUGAGGUCAUCUGCCACGGUAGUAAGGUCCUGCGUGUUUUCCCCUUACAAAGUCAUGUUCCGUGUCAGAGAGGGAAAUGGAGGGUGCUAGGAGGAUUGCCUGAGGCUAUUUGACAAGGAAACAGCAGGCUGCUUUAGGAGCUGUCUCCUGUCCAAGAGACACAGCUACCCUGAUGUCAGAGGCUAUUCGGCUCCUGUACGAACAAGGCUGUCUCCUCGCUCACUGCUGGCUCUGGUGGCCCCGUUGGCUCUACCUCGUGCUCUGCUUCAGCUGUGGUGUGAAGGCACCAGCUUCUGCCUGCUGGGCUGACCCCGUACCUGGCUGAGGUGCCAGCAAGCCCACCAGCAAAUUCUGGGGCACCCUGCUCUAAGCACCUUGCUCUGAGCACGUAACAGCCUCGCUCAGAGUGGGAAUUCGCUAUCCAAGACUGGCAAGGUUUCUGGCCCCACGCAGUGGCUAGGUUGUGUUCAUCAAUUUCCCUUUCCUUGCCUGUAAUUUCUUCAGGGCAGCAAGCCAAGCAGACCCAUAGGCAUGACCAGAAUAUGGGAUAAAUAUUCCAAGUGGCUUGAUCUAUAGGAACAUGCAGAUGGGGGAGGCAAUGAGUUCAUCUCCUCCGUGCUCUUGGCAGGGCUGUCCCUAUAUCCCCCCGCGUCCUGCAGUGGGGCGAUAAGCUGGCUGCAGGGAGAACGUUCUGUCCCUUCCCUGGAAGAAGAGAUUCAUCUGAGCCUUCCUCCUGGGAGCAAUCCUUGGUAGGCAGCUGAAACUUUCCUUUUCCUCUCAUCCCAUGACUAUUAGGGAAUAUCCAGCCCCUUACAUUGUCCAGAAUAAUUCCACUGAAAAGAGGAUUAGUGCGUUUCAGUAACCCCGGGCUGUUUCCUGUCGUUUACCUUUUAGCUGCUUUCUCCCAGGUUGGUGUCUCCAGCCCCUAAUGAUUUCUUUUGUUCUUGGAGCAGCAGGUUACUGCAGCUUCCCUGUAAGAAUACAUUUAAAACAGAAGGGCAGGGAAGGAGCAAAGACGUCCUUGACUCUGAAACACCUCCGGUAACAGAGCAGAAAGCAGAUCCCCAAGGCCCUGCUUUCAAAGGUGUCUUAAUUUGCUGUCUGAAACAGUUGCCAGGGUUUCUAGUCCUGUCAAUCCCAUCUAAAAAGAAAAAAAAAUGUUGUAAGUACAAUUUUUACUGCAUACAGUUGCCCAAACAGGUGGGGUGAAAUCGGUGUGAGCUCAGGUACAGCCAGUCGCAUCAAGCAGUGUAAAAGGCACCUGGUGGAUGGUGACCCGACACCGUGUCACGCUAAAGAUGUUUUGAAUUUCUGGCACGGACAGGGGGAGAAGGGUGAAUGAGAGCUGUGUUGGGGGUUGUUUUGUUUUUGAGAGAGGAAGCAUUUCAUUUCUGAUGGGAAGUAUUUUGUACUUGCUUUCUUCUGCUAUCUGUUCCCAGCUCAGACAGCUCUUCUGUUCUUCAGCAUGCUUGCCCAGGGCUGUUGUAUAUGACUGUUUAAACAGUGUUUAAACAGCCAUAAGCCUGUUUAUUUACCGAGGCUAUAAAUUAUCUUGAAAUCAGAAUUCAUCAUCCUGCAAAUACCAUGUUUCAACAAGCAGGCUGGCUCUCUGCUAGCAUAGCAAUAGUAAUAGACCUCCUCGCUGCCCUGCCAAGUCGCUGGCAGGGGCAAGUGUCCCUGCAUGGGCAGCUGCUGCCUCGCGGGGAUCCAGGCAGACUCCGAGGGCUGAUUCCUCUUUGUGAGCUGAUCUGCUAGCAGACUGGGGAGUGCAGUGGCCACUGCAGGUCUCUGAUGGAUGAACUGUGUGUUCGAGUUAUCUUGUCCUUGCCGGGGUUUGCUACGAAACUAAUGAUCUGUCUCUUCCAGGCAUUAGCAGCAGUUGUCUCUACAGUGUGAAGGGAUGACGAUAAUCAAGGAACGAGCUUUUCCCAGUGGAAUUUUCUCCCUCACUCCAGCUAGUAAUAGGUAACUGUUUCUGCAGCAUGUGGCUUUUAGAUGACAAAGCCAGCAGUAUCCUGCUCGGUGUUACUGGGGAUAUUUCCUUGACUUUGUUUUGCUGAGGCUGUGGACAUAGAGAGGGACUAGAAGAACUUGUCUGAAAAGGCUUAAAAGCGACACUUCCCCUAUGCGACGUGUAAAUUCCUUUCUCAGAUAACGUCUGCCUUAAAUGUUUAAUCUCGGCGACUCAAGCAGUUGAGAUUAAAACCCAUCAAGGCAGCUGCCGUGCCCUGGCUGUUGCACAGGGUGUGGGUUUUCCUCUGGAUGCUGACGUUUCUGCUCCCAUUAGCACCUCACCUCAAGCUGAGUGUGGUCCUGGCAGUCCAGAGCCCCAAACCUUUGUAUGAGCUGCGUUGAUCAGGCUGGCUCACUCCGCAGCAGGUCUGGUAGCAACAAUAGAUCAUCUGACUUACCUGUUGUGUGUGGUGUAAGCUAUCGCCUCUGCAGAUUUCUGGAACCACAUAAACCGGAGAUGGGAAAGAUCCGAGGUCAUCCAACUUCUCCAUUUUCCCCCUAUGGGGAAGGCUUGUUCCCUACACUGGAUUUUCCUGUACUUGGUCCAGUUUGAAGUGACUCAAGCAGCAGGGUUUUCAUCGCUUCCCUUGGGAGGCCUGGCAGUUUUCUUGCCAUGAGAGCUGUUUUCCUAAUGCUCCACCUGAUCUGUUCCUCUCCCUGAUUCCAGCCCCACAGAGUGGCCAGCAAAAAGCUACGGUGGGCUAAUGCUCAUUAGGUUAUAUGAGCACUGGUUAACUCUUUCUGGGUGGCUUUGAUGCUUGUCCUAAGCAAAAAGGAGAAAUUUGGAUAUUUGGAAAAAGGAUAUUUGGAAAGGAGAAUGUUAUGGUGCUGGAAAGGAGAAUAUGAUGGUGCUGCGAUGGUGACACUUGUCUCAAAGACAUUGAUGGUGUAAGUAGUACGAGUCCCAAGACCUGUGGUUCUUACAGGAUUUAGAGGUUCAUGGAAGGUUUUCUUCUACAGCAUGUAAGCAUACCUGUAGCUGGUGAAAACUGGUAAAAUUACCCCUGAAAUGUUGAACUAAAUGACAACCUGAACGUGCAGUAGUGGCUGUUCUUUAUUUUGGGGCUUUGCUUGUGCCUAACACUUCUUCGAGAAGCUUGUUUUUUCUUAACAAGCUGGAGAUUUUCCCAUGGAUUGCUUUCUUUGCUUAUCCUGUCUGUGCUGCCAAUGCUGUGUAACCAGUAGCUUGACUCUAAUGCUGAAGUAGUUCUUAAAAUAUCGUCUGCUAACUGGAUUGGUCACGAUGGGAUAAAGCCAUCUUCCAUGAAGGAUGAGCGGGAUCAGGCCUUGGAGACGCUGUCAGAGGGGAGCCAGCACAAGAAGAAGGGAAUAAAUAUUUAAAGUGUGGUUAUGCAGGGGACAAAACUAGAUGCAAAUCUAAUGGUCCCCAGCUCAGAUAACUGCAGAAAUGUUUAGGGCAGAAAGCUGGUAGCAGUUGAGAGGUCUGUGGUGGUGUAACACAACGUGAUGGGCAGCUUGGUAUUUAUUUUGUCUGGGGUUCCCCAGGAGGCUGUUUUAUGCUUUAUCCAAAAUGAGUAAAAGGGUUCUCAACCUUUCUUCUUUGACCAGACGUGGGGAACAGCCCUGUGUUCGUGUCUCUGCCAGGGGGAUGGAGGGCACUUGGUGUGUCUGUGUCCCCUGGCAGCCCCACCAGCCUCGGUGUGCACCGUGAGGAGGUUUCUCCGCUCCGCUGAGCGCCACGGCCGUGGUGCUUGCUGCGGGUGGGCAAAGCCAAGGAACAUGACUAAUGGGUAACAUAAAGAACCACCUUCCCUGCAGCCUGAUUCACCCGAUCCUUGCACAGAUUCAGUCUUUCCUUCAAGGAAUGUUUGAUAAUGCAGCGCGCACCGCUGAGAUCACCCUUCUGGCAAGUGCCUGCUGUGGUAUGAGACCCAGUCAUCUGGCAGCACAUUGCUUACUGCAGUCUCCAAGGCAACCCUCCAUGCUGUUCUUCUUUGGAAGCUCUGUGCAUUCGUAACGAAGCUGUCAUCCCUCUUACUGUAAGUGCAGCAGAUGUGAAAGAUUUUACCUGUGCCAAUGAACCCCAGGCCAGGACACUGCUGCUCGGAGGAGCGGCGCUGCGGUGGGCAUCCCACCUCCCUCUGAAGGUUGCUGCCUGUCUGCUCGUGGUGCCACAAAAUGUCUCCUGCCCUGCCUGCCGUGUCUGUAGCCAGCUGUGUUCGCACAAAGAGACCCUGAGGAUCACACGAGAGCUCUGCUGAGGCAAGGCCUUGCGGUGCUGACGUGCCACAGAAAGAAUUCGUCCCGGAUGGCUGGUCCCAAGGUGGAUUUACCAGUCCUGCAGUUAUUUGCUUCUCGCUGACUAAAAUGUCACCAGUGCGGAGCGAGAGACUCCCAGCUCCUUGGAGAAAGCCAAAGCCCCUGUUGGAGCAGCCGAACUGCCUGGCAGCUGGAGUCAGACGAGGUGACGAGCCUUUGCCACAGCCCCUCCUGAUCCCGUUUCUAAGACAACCGGUGCAAUGAGACACAAAUGUCAAACCCUCUUAUUUCUGUGUGCCUGGGGACCAGGCUGCCUGCGCCACCGCCAAGCUGCUGCUGGAUUAUACAACCCUCGUGUUUCUGCUGCUCAGUGUGACUGCUAACAGCUCCCAACCCCAAUUUAGCAACGUUUCACCCCUACCUGCUUGGGUACGAGCUCAGCUGCGCUUAGAUGGCUUCUGACUUGUGUUGCUGCCUCUGCAGAGCUCGUGUUGGCGUUUUGCUUCCAUCCCACGUGGGGACAGGGUCUGGGGACUGCAGGAGGAAAUGCUGAGCCUCCCCUAAUGCUGGGGAGCAGAGAGCUGAGCAGUGGCACUUCCACCUCUCCCAGGGAGCUGCUGCUGGCUUCGCUCCUGGCCCUGCUGCAGCCCAGGGCUCUCGGCCUUGCCUUUCCCUUGCUGAGGUGGGGACACGCAGCUGGGGGACACUGAGGCACAGGGAGAUGAAUGAAUUACAGGAGCACGGGGCCAGAGCAGGGACUGAAGGCACCACGAUGAGGACGGUGUCCCACAACCUUCAUAUCACUUAGCCUGGUGGAUGCUUGAGUUUGUGAUUUGGGUUUCGGGGUUGGGCUGGGUUUAAGCACUGGGCUGUGCUGUGCAGGGGAUGACAAGUGUAAGGCCGUUCUUCCUCCCAAGUGGUGCCUGAACCCUGCGGUACCAAAAUGCACCGCAUCGAAAUGAACCACGCUGCUUGGGGUUACAGCUUGGAUCUUGUAACGAGCAGGAGGAGGAGCGCUCCUUCACAUACAGAGGGGAAAGUUUGGGACCUUCUGGUGAACAGGGAAACAACUCAAGUGGGCUUUUGGCCAGAAGCCCCCUUAACCCGAGGGAGGGGACUUCCCAGGCUGAUUCAGAGCCGCUUUCCCCCAAAAAAACGAGGAGCUCACGGAGGCACCUUGCAGGCCAGGCCAGCUGCUGUGGCCGCCUGCCUCUCUCCAUGCAGCGCUGCCUACACGAGUUUCCUUCCCUGCCUGCUCAUUCUUUCUCUCUCCACUCGCUCCUCUUGGCUCCCUCCCCUCUGGCCUGCUGAGAGGUGCUGUGGUGCAGCUGCGGGCCUGGGCGCUGUGGUGGUGCUGCGGGAGCCUCCCGGUGCCUUGGCUGAGGGAGACACCUAGCGGGGCCGUGCUCCUGGGCGCAGCUCGGCUUGCUCCGGCUUUUAUUUCCUCCCCCGUUUAUUUUCAAUCCCAAUGUAGGGCUGGAGCAGGAGCUGAGGUUUCCAAGUGGCCCCCCUGUACUGGGUGUGCACAGUGGGCGCUUGGCAGGCCAGUUUAUUGGGGUUUCCUCACCUGGUGCUGUGGGAACGCCGCUUGGGAUGUGCCUGGUUCCUCUGGCACUGUGAGGUGCCCACCUGGCUUCCAUCUGUCCCUGUCCCCUCCAAAGUGGAGGCGUUUUCCUUCCUAACCCUGCCUUGUGACACGGCUCUGGGACAGGGUCACCUCCAGAGGGGCACACCAGAGAGGAACGUGCCUGUGGGAUGGCUGUUGUUACCCCCAGGGCCUGUUUGCUCUGGGUGCAGCUGGGCCUCCAGGAGUCCCUCACCCCCUGAGGGUCUCCAGGACAGGGACAAUCGGUGAUGUUUUGUGUCCUGCUGAAAGCCCCCCCUUGGCACUCCUCCCCGCCAUGCUAUGUCAGGCUGAAACAAGGCAGGGAGAGCAGCAGGGAGGAGAACGUGAGGAGGGAGGUAUCUCUUACUCAGAGGUUCCUCAUUGAGGUGCCUCCCCGUAAGAGAUACAGCUACGGGCUUGCAGAGGACGUGCUGGCAAACGCCCUGGGUACAGCAGAAAGAACACGAGAAGUGAAAGAGGAAAUUGGAUCCUCUUGGGAAAAUACCUUCCCUCGGGCUCUCUGCCCCCUUCCUGGGGCUGCAGCGUGUCAGCAGCCAGCACCAGGAAGGCAACACCCAAGGUGAGAACUGGGCACUGCCAGCAAACCUGGGCUCUGCUGCUCUGCUGCUUCUCUCCUGCCUCACGUAUGAAGUUUUGGAUGCCCCUGCCCUGAGCUUCAUCCAGCUGAGAGGGAGCUGCAGCGCUGUGUUGUACCUGUGAGUCCUCAGGUGAGCACAGAAACUGGGCAGUGGGAACCAGAGCAGCAACUGCACUGCUUCAAAGCAGUGAGCCCUUGCACAGCUUUGGGGUAGAGCACUUGUAAUGGCAGUUUCCCCCCUCUUCCAGGGGGAAUUGCAGUCAUUCUUCUCUCUGUACAACAGAAAUGCCCUGGAUCAGGUUAUCAAACCCUGGAGGCAACUUUGAGGAUACUGGUCUUUGGUGAGGUGAAGGUGAUGCUGGAGUCAUAGCUCAGCCAUCCAUUAAUGUUCUCGGCUCUCCUCCCAACCACUUCUUUGAGCUCGGCUUUGCCAAACCCUCAAGACCACAACGCAAACAAGACUCAUCUUGUGUUACAGGCACAGUAAACACACACCCAAAGCAAUGCCAGGAGUGAAUGCAGCAUUUUCUUCCCUGCUCACCCCCCUCGUGCAUCAGCCAGUGUUACACCAGCCUUGCACUUGCCCCCUUCUGCCUUGGGUGACACUGGGAGCCCACCGUGGUGGGCGGAAGGAGAUUUUUUUUUUUUUUUUUUUUUUUAUCAGGGGUCACCGAGGGGUGGCUUGGAGCAGAAGCGAGCGCAGCCCCUUGCAGACAAUCAGAGUCUGGUUACGCAUAUGUGUGGGGCAUAAAGGAAAUGUGCUGGCAAAAGCAGGGAUGAACUUGAUGCGUGAGCCAAAAAGGCUUUUAAGAAACACCCCCCUCUCUCCCCCCAGUAAUUCAGGGCAGAUGAUGCUUAGUGUAGAGCCUAUCUCAAGUGAUAGCCGAGACCGACUGCUGCUCUGCGUGCUCCAGCCUGAGGCAGGGCUGCACAUGGAGCCAGCCUCUCAGGACCACCCUGCUGCUGGGGGACCGAGCUGUUUCCCCAGAGCCCCUCGUCUGCUUCGUGCCAGUCAUCGGGCUUUUAAGGAGGAGACGAGGCACUGCAGGGCCUUUGUGCCUCACCAAGAAGGGCAGAAACGGCUUGAAAAGUGCUGAUGGAAUUGGUGUUCGGUGCUUGUGGAAGCACUUGCAUGGCAUCUGGUAGCAGAAAUGCAGUCUCAGGCUGAUGGCCGGUCUUUUCUAAAAUAGCAGUGGAAUAUUCACUUGGUGAUAUUUAUUUAUUUAUAAUGAGGAAGAGGAAAAGCUGCUAUCCUGCAAGAGGCCUAUAGCAGGGUCUCCAGGCCCCUCUGCAUGCAGAAACGUGGCAUUCGCUCUGGGGUCACACCCGCUGCGUCAGACACGGGCAGGAUCAGGCCUCUGGAGAGGAGCGGUGCUGGGCACCGAGGCCUUGUCACAGAGCUGGUGCUGUGCAGGGAGGAACUUCUGAAGCCAGGUUUUGUGGGUCUAACUGCGUGAGGAAGAGCCUUGCCUCCCAAGGUCAGGGGGUGACCGGAGCAGAGUGACUCUGGCCUGCCCACUCCAACUCUGAGAGACAACACAAAGUCCUAAAUGUUAGGGCCAUUGUUCCAUUCCCCGUCCUGCCCAACGCCUGCAGGAAUUCAGAGGUGGCCUCGCGUCCGUGUUGUUGUACCAGUGGGCACAGCGGGUGGAAGCCCCCAGUGCCCCAGCCCCAGGGCAGGUUCCUGUUCUCAUGCUGAGGAGGGCUCAAGGCUGGGGAUUUAGCAAAGCAGCUGUUUCCUGCCUGCCUGCAGAGCAGGCAGGACCCCUCUGGAUGGAGCUCGAUCGAUCAGGAGGUGGGAGCAGCAGUUUUGGGGCCUGGAUGACUUUUCUGUACCUAUCCCCUUUCUGUUCCAGGGAUGCAAUUGGCCUUGUCCAUGCUGCGGGCAGCAGAUGGCUCCUGCACACAAAGCACAGCCAGUGUGGGACUCAUCCGCAUCGAUGCCUGGAGCCACGCAGUGAUGAGACCAGACAGAGGGAUAAGUGAGGCUGGGGCUGUCCCCUAUACACCCUCAGAGCCCUGCUCCUGGAGUGCCUGGACACUUCCAGCAUGCCAGCCAUCUGCGUCUUGGAAGCUCUCGGUGGGCCCACUUUCCUGCAUGAGGAACAGGCAGCGCACUUGCGUGCCCAGAUGCAACCAGUGCUAGCUGUGGAGGGAAGCCCAGCAGCUCGGCCUGGUGACCUGCACCAGCUCCCAGCAGUCUGAUGGGAGGUGAGUGCUGGGCUGUGGGGAUGCGCCUGUGUGGCUCCAGGUGGGAAGCUGGCUCCAGAACUGCCUCAUGUUAGUGCUCAGUGCCCCUGUGCUUGGAGUAGUGUGAAAAAAUCCCUCCUGGGCCUCUCCAGCUUCUGGAAACACUGGAACCUGGCUGAUGUCCUUGGGGAUGCCUGAAACAGCACACUGGGGCCUGAGGUAAAGGGUUUUGCAGUAUUUCCAGUUAGGAUGCUCAGCAUCCUCCUUGGAGAGCUGGUCACAGUUGGGAGUAGGGAUCUGUGCUGCAGGGUCUCAGGAGCACCUCCACAGAAGCCCAUGAGGAACCAUAUAAGAACCACACAGCCAGAGGAUUAGAAAAUAUCGCAGUUUAUUAGAGCAUCUCCACUUCAUAGAGUUUUACAAAACGAUAUAUUUACAGGUCUGACUAAUCUCGAUGGGAGUAUGCUCUUCUAGGGCAAGGACCUGGCUACACAGAAAAAAAGAAAUCAAA